rnacentral:rRNA from 1 species
UUAAGUUGGGCACUCUAAGUUGACUGCCGGUGACAAACCGGAGGAAGGUGGGGAUGACGUCAAAUCAUCAUGCCCCUUAUGAUUUGGGCUACACACGUGCUACAAUGGACAAUACAAAGGGCAGCGAAACCGCGAGGUCAAGCAAAUCCCAUAAAGUUGUUCUCAGUUCGGAUUGUAGUCUGCAACUCGACUAUAUGAAGCUGGAAUCGCUAGUAAUCGUAGAUCAGCAUGCUACGGUGAAUA